AAGACUAUAGACCUGCGGAGUACCUGCGGAAGGAUCAUUAUAGAGUUUUCUAAACUCCCAACCCAUGUGAACUUACCUUUUGUUGCCUCGGCAGAAGUUAUAGGUCUUCUUAUAGCUGCUGCCGGUGGACCAUUAAACUCUUGUUAUUUUAUGUAAUCUGAGCGUCUUAUUUUAAUAAGUCAAAACUUUCAGCAAUGGAUCUCU
rnacentral:misc_RNA from 1 species